AGGACUCCAAGUGUGGUUAUAUCC
rnacentral:siRNA from 1 species